rnacentral:rRNA from 1 species
UACGUAGGGGGCAAGCGUUGUCCGGAAUCAUUGGGCGUAAAGAGCGUGUAGGCGGUCCGUUAAGUCGGCUGUGAAAGUCCAGGGCUCAACCCUGGGAUGCCGGCCGAUACUGGCGGACUAGAGUCCGGAAGAGGUGAGUGGAAUUCCCGGUGUAGCGGUGAAAUGCGCAGAUAUCGGGAGGAACACCAAUGGCGAAGGCAGCUCGCUGGAACGGAACUGACGCUGAGGCGCGAAAGCGUGGGGAGCGAACAGG